GACGAACGCUGGCGGCGUGCUUAACACAUGCAAGUCGAACGGAAAGGCCCUGCUUUUGUGGGGUGCUCGAGUGGCGAACGGGUGAGUAACACGUGAGUAACCUGCCCUUGACUUUGGGAUAACUUCAGGAAACUGGGGCUAAUACCGGAUAGGAGCUCCUGCUGCAUGGUGGGGGUUGGAAAGUUUCGGCGGUUGGGGAUGGACUCGCGGCUUAUCAGCUUGUUGGUGGGGUAGUGGCUUACCAAGGCUUUGACGGGUAGCCGGCCUGAGAGGGUGACCGGCCACAUUGGGACUGAGAUACGGCCCAGACUCCUACGGGAGGCAGAAGUGGGGAAUAUUGCACGAUGGGCGGAAGCCUGAUGCAGCAACGCCGCGUGCGGGAUGACGGCCUUCGGGUUGUAAACCGCUUUCGCCUGUAACGAAGCGUGAGUGACGGUAAUGGGUAAAGAAGCACCGGCUAACUACGUG
rnacentral:rRNA from 1 species